CAACAUUCCGAUGUUCUUGUUGUAUAUUCUGGUAGGUAUAUUGGUUAAACUCACUCUUGGCAUACAGUUUGAUGUCAUCCAUGUAGAGGAGGUGGUUCAUUGGAGCUCUGCUCUUGAACCUGUGUCUUUAUGAUUACCUGGUUGAGCUGAUUGAGACCUGUGUAGGAUGGCAUGAGGAUAGCGCAUCAACUUGGUAUAUGCCAUGUUUAAUGUUUAUUUGUGUUAUUGUCCUGGAAUUGACUUAUAGUGUUGCUCUCCACUUGCAUAGUGAGGUCUUGAGGAAUGCUCUUAGUGUCUUGCUGAUAUGGUAUACUAUCCAAGCAAUCCAGGAUCUAUGUGUGUGGCAUUGUGCCAUAGGAUUUUUUGUAGUUAAUCCAGGCUGUGCACAGAUUGGUCUUUUUAGUCUUUGAAUCCUACGUGACUGCUUGGUCUACCAGUACCUAGUGUUUUGAGUUUUUGAUGUUUCCAAUCCCCUUCUGUGUAUUGCUCAUGUAUUGACACAUAUUCUCAUCGGAGGUUAUGUUGCCUAAGAGGACCUUUCAUUUUGUGGGGAGGCAGGUGAUUAGUCAGUAGUUAGAAGGUGUUGUUCCCUUAAGAGGCUCCUUCAUGAUCAGUUCUGUUCUGCUUUGUGGUAGCCAGUCGGAGUGGGAGCCUGCUGUAAGUAGCUGGUUCGUUUGUGCUACUAGGCGCUCAUACAGCAUUGCUCAUUUCUUUAUCCCGUAGGUUUGGGUCAUAUCAGUUCCUGGUACUGACAAACUCUUCAAGUGGGUUACUUAUUGGGCAACUCCUACUGUGAUGGUGACUGGUUCAUGUUCUUCUUUUUGCAGUGGUUUGCUUUCAGGUCUAGUAACAACUGGGCCUUGGUGGCUUGGUCCUUUCUACCAGAUGUGCUUCCAGUACUAUUCAGUCUUAGCUUUUUGGUGGAUAUGUUUUUACGCUGCAGCUGUGAAUACAU